rnacentral:rRNA from 1 species
AAUGACGGUACCGGAAGAAUAAGCCCCGGCUAACUUCGUGCCAGCAGCCGCGGUAAUACGAAGGGUGCAAGCGUUAUUCGGAUUUACUGGGCGUAAAGCGCACGUAGGCGGCGUAUCUAGUCAGAGGUGAAAGCCCGGGGCUCAACCCCGGAAUUGCCUUUGAUACUGGUAUGCUUGAGUUCGGAAGAGGGUAGUGGAAUUCCAAGUGUAGAGGUGAAAUUCGUAGAUAUUUGGAAGAACACCGGUGGCGAAGGCGGCUACCUGGUCCGAUACUGACGCUGAGGUGCGAAAGCGUGGGGAGCGAACAGGAUUAGAUACCCUGGUAGUCCACGCCGUAAACGAUGAGUGCUAAGUGU